ACUCAAAUGAAUUGACGGGGGCCCGCACAAGCGGUGGAGCAUGGGGAUUAAUUCGUCAUUAACCGAAGAACCUUACCAGGGCUUGACAUCCCCGGAACCCUCUGGAAACAGGGGGGUGCCUCGCAAGAGGAGCCGGGAGACAGGUGUUGCAUGGCUGUCGUCAGCUCGUGUCGUGAGAUGUUGGGUUAAGUCCCGCAACGAGCGCAACCCUCACCCGAUGUUGCCAGCGUAAAGCCGGGCACUCUUCGGGAACUGCCCGUGUAAGCGGGAGGAAGGUGGGGAUGACGUCAAGUCGGCAUGGCCCUUACGUCCUGGGCUUCACCCAUGCUACAAUGGGCGCGACAGAGGGCAGCAAACCCGCGAGGGGGAGCCAAUCCCACAAAGGCGCUCUCAGUUCGGAUUGCAGGCUGCAACUCGCCUGCAUGAAGUCGGAAUCGCUAGUAACCGCCGGUCAGCUAAACGGCGGUGAAUACGUUCCCGGGCCUUGUACACACCGCCCGU
rnacentral:rRNA from 1 species